AGUGGAUGGGGAGCAACCUAGUUGUGCGUGUGUAAAGGUAGUGCCAAGAAAAGCGAUGAUCAUGUUGAAAAUCAAUUCCCGGUACCCGAAACCGACACAGGUGGGCAAGUAGAGAAUACUAAGGGGCGCGAGGUAACUCUCUCCAAGGAACUCGGCAAAAUGACCCCGUAACUUAGGGAGAAGGGGUGCCACCGAGAGGUGGUCGCAGUGAAGAGGCCCAGGCGACUGUUUAGCAAAAACAUAGGUCUCUGCAAACUCGAAAGAGGAGGUAUAGGGGCUGACGCCUGCCCAGUGCCGGAAGGUUAAAGAAGUUGGUCAGUUUUAGGAUGAAGCUAGCGACUGAAGCCCCGGUGAACGGCGGCCGUAACUAUAACGGUCCUAAGGUAGCGAAAUUCCUUGUCGGGUAAGUUCCGACCCGCACGAAAGGCGUAACGAUCUGGGCGCUGUCUCGGAGAGAGGCUCGGCGAAAUAGGAUUGUCUGUGAAGAUACGGGCUACCUGCAUUUGGACAGAAAGACCCUAUGAAGCUUUACUAUAGCUUGGAAUUGUGUUCGGGCUUCCUGUGCGCAGGAUAGGUGGGAGGCGUAGAAGGUAUUCUUGUGGGGAUACUGGAGCCAACGGUGAGAUACCACUCUCAGGAGGCUAGAAUUCUAACUUAAUUAAGGACAGUUUCAGGUGGGUAGUUUGACUGGGGCGGUCGCCUCCAAAAAGGUAACGGAGGCGUACAAAGGUUCCCUCAGACUGGUUGGAAAUCAGUCGAAGAGUGCAAAGGCAGAAGGGAGCUUGACUGCGAGAAGUACAGUUCGAGCAGGGUGGAAACACGGUCUUAGUGAUCCGACGGUGCUGUGUGGAAGGGCCGUCGCUCAACGGAUAAAAGUUACUCUAGGAUAACAGGCUGAUCUCCCCCAAGAGUUCACAUCGACGGGGAGGUUUGGCACCUCGAUGUCGGCUCAUCGCAACCUGGGGCGGAAGUACGUCCCAAGGGUUGGGCUGUUCGCCCAUUAAAGCGGUACGUGAGCUGGGUUCAGAACGUCGUGAGACAGUUCGGUCCAUAUCCGAUGUAGGCGUGAGAAUAUUGAGAGGAGCCUUCCUUAGUACGAGAGGACCGGGAAGGACGCACCGCUGGUGUACCUGUUAUGAUGCCAAUUGUAAACGCAGGGUAGCCAAGUGCGGAGAGGAUAACCGCUGAAAGCAUCUAAGUGGGAAGCCCACCUCAAGAUGAGUAUUCUGGUGUAAGGUCACGGGAAGACGACCCGUAAAUAGGCACGAGGUGGAAGUGCAGAGAUGUAUGAAGCCGAAGUGUACUAAUAGACCGUCGGC
rnacentral:rRNA from 1 species